rnacentral:rRNA from 1 species
CCUACGGGUGGCAGCAGUGGGGAAUAUUGCACAAUGGGGGAAACCCUGAUGCAGCGACGCCGCGUGAGUGAAGAAGUAUCUCGGUAUGUAAAGCUCUAUCAGCAGGGAAGAAAAUGACGGUACCUGACUAAGAAGCCCCGGCUAACUACGUGCCAGCAGCCGCGGUAAUACGUAGGGGGCAAGCGUUAUCCGGAUUUACUGGGUGUAAAGGGAGCGUAGACGGCGAAGCAAGUCUGAAGUGAAAACCCAGGGCUCAACCCUGGGACUGCUUUUGAAACUGUCAGACUGGAGUGCAGGAGAGGUAAGCGGAAUUCCUAGUGUAGCGGUGAAAUGCGUAGAUAUUAGGAGGAACAUCAGUGGCGAAGGCGGCUUUCUGGACUGUAACUGACGCUGAGGCUCGAAAGCUAGGGUAGCGAACGGGAUU